CUCAUUAUCCCAUUCUGCACAACUCUUAGAAACCACAAAAAUCACAAAAAAAAGAAAAAAUCACAGAAUGAAAAACACAAAAACAACUAAAGAAUUCUCCUAUAAAUACCCCAUUCUGCAGAACUCUGAGAAACCACAGAGACAUUUACUCAAUCAAAGAUUACUACAAGAGCAAAGGAGGAGGGAAAGCUAAGGAUGGCGUCAAUUUGUGAAGGUAAGAGCGAAUGGCCUGAGCUAGUCGGGACGUGUGGAGAAGUAGCAGCGAAAACCAUCGAGAAGGAGAACUCCCUCGUUUCUGCCCUCAUUGUUAGACCAUUCGAACCAGUCGCUCUUAUUUUCAGUUGUGCCCGAGUAGUUGUUGCCGUCGAUGAGAAAGGCAUUGUUAUACGUGUGCCUACGAUUGGUUAAACUAAGCGGAUGGAGACGAUUCUUCGUUACUUCACUUGCCUUGUAGUUGGCUUGUAAUAUGAUUAAAAUAAAUAAGUCGUUCGAGGGUCGUCUUGUUGUUCUAAUUUGAUUUACUGUUUAAUAUGUUUAUCAAUAAUAUGCGAGCUUUCUGUUUAUCA